GUUCCCAUGGUGUAGUGGUUAUCAUCCGCUUUAUAUGCGGAAGGGCUCCAGGUUCAAACCUGGUGGGGAAUCU